rnacentral:lncRNA from 10 species
UGACAGUGUGUUAGUCCCUGAACAAUGUGCGUGAACAUUAUUUUUGUUAGAGAUGGGGUGUCACUCUGUCACCCAGGCUGGAGUACAGUGGUAUGACCAUAGCUCGCUGCAGCCACGACCUCCUGGGCUCAAGUCGACUGAGCAGCUGAGACUACAGAACCUCUGGCAAACUCCAAAGGACAGCCCUUAGGGAAAAGGCACAGUGUGUCCUGUGGCUGGUGGGACACAAGGCCAGAUCAGGCUGAAGAAGUCCUAACCCACCUUUCAAAGUGGUAACAGAUAAACCACCCAAGGCUUUCGGGAGGUCUUAUAUACAUGGAGAACGUGUUGAGUGCACCUGGGAUCUCCCUGCACAAAGCAGCUUUCUACAAAUCUGGCACAUACGAGGCAGCCCAAAAUAAGCUAUGUCGCUUGUCUCUAUGGUACCUGCACGAAUGUCAGCUUUGGAUAUUGAGAUAUCUGCCCGGCUACAUGAUGAAUGAUACCUUUUGUUCUAAAACAACAAAAGUGGUUGGGCGUGGCAGCUCACGCCUGUAAUCCAACAGUUUGGGAGGCUGAGGCGGGUGGAUCACUUGACGUUAGGAGUUCGAG